UUGGUGGCUGCAGGGAUGACUUCAUGCUUGUGAUUAGAUCUAUCCCAGACAAGAGCUCUGGAAAAAGCCACAUUGAGAAGUUGAUCUUCCGGAUGGCUGCUCCCAAGAAGGGCACUGUGCAUCUCAGAGGAUCUCCAGACCAACAGGAGCCCACACCACUGGGCCUCUGAA
rnacentral:sRNA from 1 species